rnacentral:lncRNA from 1 species
AUUUAAUAUAGAUUUUUUUUUCAUAGUUCAAAAUAGAUGUUUAAUGUGAAUAUAGAAAAUCGAUUUUUUUUUUAUCUCAAUUCAAUAUAGAUUUUCCUUGAAAUAAUUGAUGCAAAGUUUUUAAACAAAAUAUCAGUGAAAACAGCAGUCAUAACAUAAAAUCAAAUACUGUAGAUUCAUUAUUAUUCUUUGGCUACCAAUUUUUGUGGUUACAGGUGAACCACGAAUUCAAAUGUUCAACGAAUAACAUAUUUUCAAUAGGCUUUUUAUACAGAGAUUUGCAAAACCAAGAAAUCAAAUGUUCAUGAAUAUGCAAAUAUUCGGCAAUCCACUAAAAUUCAUACCAACAAAAAUAACUGAAUCCACAGUAUCACUUUAUUUAAAAGAAUUUUCCAUUGUAGAAGUUUUAUUUAUCUAAACUUUUUUUAAUUGUUAUAUUUGUAUACAAUUUUAAUCUGUUUUUAUACAAUAAUUGUACUUCAGGUAUUGUAUUUUUGUGCCAUAUUAAUUGCAGUUGUAUGAAUAUUUGUAUCAUAUAAUAAUGUUAUGUUGUUUUUUUUCAAUUUAAUGCAAGUCAUGCAAUCUGUGUUUAAUUUAUAUAACUAUCUUAAAGCACUAAAAGACUCAUGUUUAGAAAAAUGAUGAGCUCUAAACUUAUCUAAGUGAAAACCCUGAAAGAAUAUGAAUUCAUCAUAAUUGACAAUCUACCGAUAAUGUAAAAUCUGUUUUCACAAUAUCACACAUUCCAUUCUUUUAAUGUCAUUCCAAAAUAAUAUGUACCGGUAACACUUUAUUUUACUGAAUUUAAAGAUAGUAAUAACAUCUACCUAUCUCAGAGAACAUUUUUAAAUUGCAAAAUAAGACGACUCUGAUUUCAAUAUUUAAAAAUGUUUUAAUCAAUUAACGUUUUAUUAACAAAAAGUUGAUGUAAUUUUUCUUGAAUCAAUGUUGUAAUCUACUCAUUAAUCUCACCAGACAAAAGUGAUGUGAAGUUUUGUACUGUAUUCAUAAUUACUUGCUAUCAUUGCAUGCAUAUAUUGGUGCAUUUUUUGUAUAUAGAAGGUCAUCAUCAUACAUGUAUUUCACUUGAAAUCUGUACAUAGUUUGUUAUGUACAAUGUAUAUUUUUAUCAUGUAAAUGUAUAAUAUAUUUUUGUAUAUAUUCUUAUGAAGUGGAACUGCAACAUCAGGUGUGUAGAAAGCUAUUUAAAGUAUAACCUACUGAUAUGUAAAAAUUUGACACUGGUCAUGGGAGAUAAUUUGGAUUUAGUCAGGGGAGAUAAUUUGAAAUUGGAGCAUUCAAAAGCUGACGUUAUAUGAACAUUGUCAGUAAUAUGCAGUUAAAUGUAAACAGAUACCUUCAUCUAUGCAAAAAAGUAUCUGGUGUUUAUUACAGUGAGUCUUGUUGAUUUGUUCAUUUCUGUUGUUUAUAUAAGAAUUAGCAUACAUUGAAAGAAUAACAUAUACAGUUUUGAUAUAAAGUUUUAUUUUAUAAGAUAGACAGGUCAGUUUGAUCAUGAGAAAAACUUUACCAAAUAUAAGAAAUCAAGUGGAAUUGACCAUUGGUAAAUAUGCAUAUGAAUUUAGUUGUAAAUACUGGUAUGCUUGAAGUGUUGCAUCCCUCCUUUUUAAUUAAUUCUGAAAGUUAAAAAAAAUGGUACAAAAAUAUAAAUAUUUAUUAUAGAUUUUAAUCAAAGGAAAUUUUAAACUGUUAAUUUUUAGAUAAUUUUAUAUUUAUCAUGUGUAGAUGACUGUUAAAGCUUGUUUCAAUUUCAUGUCUAUAAAAAUAAGAAUGAUAUGUUCAUAGUGAUUUGCAGGCUAAAAAACAUAUUCAGUUGUUUAAAAAAGAACCAAAACACUGUUUUUUUUAUAUGUAUGUAUAUAUUCUACAAUAUUUGAAAAAUACUUUAUGUUUGUAUUUUUUCUAUGUUAUUGAAUGCAUGUUUGAUAUAAUUAAUAGUCAAGACAUUAUUUGUAUUUAAAACUGUUAUGGUAUUGUUGGGAUAUAUUAAUUUACUUCUAUGAAAUUUAUUCUUAGUUCGAACUUAUGCCUUCUAAUAUUUAUAUGAUUCAAAUAAGGCCAAGAAAUAGAUAAUUUUAUCCAGAAACUGCAAAUAUUUAGUCUUUCGUCACUUUAUUUAAGUCAAAGCCAAACUUAAUAUUUUGUCUAGACUCUAGGGCUUAUAAAUAUUGCAAAAAUGCGACAGGGUUAUAAUUGCCUUAAUUUAAACCUGCAUUUUGAAACUUUUUAUAUGAAUUAAACAGGAUUUUUCUCAAUAUCACAAAAAUAAAAAUCACAUUUUAGUCCAAAAUGACAAAAUCGUAUUAAUUUCUGAAUUUACAGUACAUGUAUUUAUAUUUACUGCAACCCUUCAAUCUGAUUGAAAAUGUGUUGAAUAAUAGUAUUGUAAAAUUUCAUUUAUUUUGGUGAAUAAACAAGACCGAAAUUUCAGAAAAAUGUAUUUUUUCCUUUUGACAAUUUAAUUCUAAAUUAAAUCU